ensembl:lncRNA
GGACUAAGGAACAAACGGAGACGUUUAUACUUCUCCGUUUAGAAAAACAGCAGCUGUUUACCGGGGGAAGGACACCGCGGCCAACGGAUAUCGGUGAGAAGCUACACUAUUGUUUAAUGUUCAGAAGUAAUAGCUGUGUAAUCUGCUUUUUAUUCACACAGGCUUAUUUUGGAGAAGAUGGGGAUCGGAGGGUCACCCACGCCCAGGCCAAGAAGAAGUGGGACAAUCUGAAGACCAAGUACAAGAGGAGGUUUAAGGCUGAACAUUUACCACUUCUCAUCAACACUAAAGUCAGUAGGCUGAAAGGAAAGUUUGACCAUGCAAAGACAUUCCAGACUAGCGAGGGAUCUGCAUGCUUGUUGUACUGCUGAGUCAUAGUUCUGCACAACCAAUACAGCAAUACACCACCUGACAUCCUGA